UCAUAACCUAUAAAUGUAAUAAUACAACGAUACGAGAAAGCGAGAGUACAAGAUUGAAAAUUGUGAAGCUCUAUCUCUAUAGAUUUAAUCUCAAUAGAUCAUAUUUUGGAAGUUAAUGAAUUCACGUGCAAACAUUGUAACAACGCAAUUGCUUCAUUGGAUCAUUUUGCUAACAUUACUGCUUAUUGAAGUAUCACUAUCACUACUUAUCUCAGCAAUUUCAGUCAAAGUAAAUAUAACCUUACGAUUUAUCAU